CUCCUCCAGAUUCUUUACUUUCCAGAUCUAAGCACUUGUCUGAGGGGUUAAAAAAGGAGGAAAAGUAAAAGUGACACUCACUUAAAUUCUUCUGUGACACACAAGCUAGUUUCAAACAAAC
rnacentral:snoRNA from 1 species